UAACCAUUGAUAGUUCACCACAUUUGCUAUCCGCCUGGGGACUACGAGCAGUAGCUUAAAACCCAAAGGACUUGGCGGUGCUUAAGAUCCACCUAGAGGAGCCUGUUCUAGAACCGAUAACCCCCGUUCAACCUCACCCUCUCUUGUUUUUCCCGCCUAUAUACCGCCGUCGUCAGCUUACCCUGUGAAGGAUUAAUAGUAAGCAAAAUUGGCACAGCCUAAAACGUCAGGUCGAGGUGUAGCCGUAUGAGAGGGGAAGAAAUGGGCUACAUUUCCUAAAAUAGGAAACACGGAUAUUGCACUGAAAUGUGCAUUUGAAGGAGGAUUUAGCAGUAAGCAGAAAAUAGAGCGUCCUGCUGAAACUGGCCCUGAAGCGCGCACACACCGCCCGUCACUCUCCCCAAGCUUUAAUCUUUUAAUAAUUAAUAAACCACACCUGCAAAGGGGAGGCAAGUCGUAACAUGGUAAGUGUACCGGAAGGUGCACUUGGAAAAAU
rnacentral:rRNA from 1 species